rnacentral:piRNA from 1 species
UAUCAACCAACACAGCGAAACAAGAACAGU